rnacentral:rRNA from 1 species
UACGAAGGGGGCUAGCGUUGCUCGGAAUUACUGGGCGUAAAGCGUGCGCAGGCGGUCCGUUGUGUCCGAUGUGAAAGCCCCGGGCUCAACCUGGGAAUGGCGAUGGAUACUGGCUCGCUAGAGUGCGGUAGAGGAGAGUGGAAUUCCCGGUGUAGCAGUGAAAUGCGUAGAGAUCGGGAGGAACAUCAGUUGCGAAGGCGGCUCUCUGGACCAGCACUGACACUGAGGCACGAAAGCGUGGGGAGCAAACAGG